AAUCGAGUUUGUAAAUUUCGCGAUACAAAUAUAAUCUAUAACAGGAUCACUGUAGCUAAAUAUCAAUACUCGUCUUUGAUUUUUCUUUAAAUAUUUUUCUAAAAUAUAUUUCAGCUAAAGAUGGUGAUAAUUCGUACACCUUUAUGUGUGUUAUUUCUUUUCAUUUUAUCCACAAUGAGUGUCAUUGAGUGUGCUUGUUUGGAUGAUAGAUCAACUAAUGAGUGGGAUGGUGGAUGGUUCAGUGGUCCGAAACCAGUAAAUCGUGCCCCAUCUGGCUGUAUACUUAACAGCUGGCCUUGUAAAACACACAGAGAUUGUUGUGAGGGUAACUGUCAUUCAAGACGAAAUUACGAUUCGAUGAAACUAAGUUGGGGUGAUAUAAAAUUGUGCGGAUGAAAAUACUACACGGAGAUAUAUAUGCCGACGCUCAUAAGCUUAGGAUUGAUUUUAGGAACAUAAUCCAUUAUCGAAUAUAAAUAAUUGCAUUUGUAAUGUAUUAAUUAAGUUUGUGAAUCAAUGACAUAAAGUGAAUGUUGAUUACAAUCAAAA